rnacentral:rRNA from 1 species
UACAGAGGGGGCAAGCGUUGUUCGGAAUUACUGGGCGUAAAGGGCGCGUAGGCGGCCUGCUAAGUCGAACGUGAAAUCCCUGGGCUCAACCCAGGAACUGCGUCCGAUACUGGUUGGCUUGAAUCCGGGAGAGGGACGUGGAAUUCCAGGUGUAGCGGUGAAAUGCGUAGAUAUCUGGAGGAACACCGGUGGCGAAGGCGACGUCCUGGACCGGCAUUGACGCUGAGGCGCGAAAGCCAGGGGAGCGAACGGG